UACAGAGGUCCCAAGCGUUGUUCGGAUUCAUUGGGCGUAAAGGGUGCGUAGGCGGCGCGGUAAGUCGGGUGUGAAAUCUCGGAGCUUAACUCCGAAACUGCAUUCGAUACUGCCGUGCUUGAGUCCGGGAGAGGGGGGUGGAAUUCCCAGUGUAGCGGUGAAAUGCGUAGAUAUUGGGAGGAACACCGGUGGCGAAGGCGGCAUCCUGGACCAAUACUGACACUGAGGAGCGAAAGCCAGGGGAGCAAACGGG
rnacentral:rRNA from 1 species